rfam:Tupaia chinensis contig4163, whole genome shotgun sequence.
GUGCUCACUUCAGCAGUACAUUCACUAACAUGUGAACAUCACAGAGAACAUUCGCAUGACUUCUGCACAAGGAUCACACAGAUUCAUGAAGCCAUUUGUAUUUAA